AGAGUUUGAUUCUGGCUCAGAGCGAACGCUGGCGGCAGGCUUAACACAUGCAAGUCGAACGGGCACCUUCGGGUGUCAGUGGCAGACGGGUGAGUAACACGUGGGAACGUACCCUUCGGUUCGGAAUAACUCAGGGAAACUUGAGCUAAUACCGGAUACGCCCUUUUGGGGAAAGGUUUACUGCCGAAGGAUCGGCCCGCGUCUGAUUAGCUUGUUGGUGAGGUAACGGCCCACCAAGGCGACGAUCAGUAGCCGACCUGAGAGGGUGACCGGCCACAUUGGGACUGAGACACGGCCCAAACUCCUACGGGAGGCAGCAGUGGGGAAUAUUGCACAAUGGGCGAAAGCCUGAUGCAGCGACGCCCGCGUGAGCGAUGAAGUAUUUCGGUAUGUAAAGCUCUAUCAGCAGGGAAGAUAAUGACGGUACCUGACUAAGAAGCUCCGGCUAAAUACGUGCCAGCAGCCGC
rnacentral:rRNA from 1 species